rnacentral:rRNA from 1 species
UACGUAGGGGGCAAGCGUUGUCCGGAAUCAUUGGGCGUAAAGAGCGUGUAGGCGGCUCGGUAAGUCCGCUGUGAAAGUCCAGGGCUCAACCCUGGAAUGCCGGUGGAAACUGUCGAGCUCGAGUCCGGAAGAGGCGAGUGGAAUUCCUGGUGUAGCGGUGAAAUGCGCAGAUAUCAGGAGGAACACCAAUUGCGAAGGCAGCUCGCUGGGACGUUACUGACGCUGAGACGCGAAAGCGUGGGGAGCAAACAGG